GACGGUACCUGCAGAAAAAGCGCCGGCUAACUACGUGCCAGCAGCCGCGGUAAUACGUAGGGCGCAAGCGUUAUCCGGAAUUAUUGGGCGUAAAGAGCUCGUAGGCGGUUUGUCGCGUCUGCUGUGAAAUCCCGAGGCUCAACCUCGGGCCUGCAGUGGGUACGGGCAGACUAGAGUGCGGUAGGGGAGAUUGGAAUUCCUGGUGUAGCGGUGGAAUGCGCAGAUAUCAGGAGGAACACCGAUGGCGAAGGCAGAUCUCUGGGCCGUAACUGACGCUGAGGAGCGAAAGGGUGGGGAGCAAACAGGCUUAGAUACCCUGGUAGUCCACCCCGUAAACGUUGGGAACUAGUUGUGGGGUCCAUUCCACGGAUUCCGUGACGCAGCUAACGCAUUAAGUUCCCCGCCUGGGGAGUACGGCCGCAAGGCUAAAACUCAAAGGAAUUGACGGGGACCCGCACAAGCGGCGGAGCAUGCGGAUUAAUUCGAUGCAACGCGAAGAACCUUACCAAGGCUUGACAUAUACGAGAACGGGCCAGAAAUGGUCAACUCUUUGGACACUCGUAAACAGGUGGUGCAUGGUUGUCGUCAGCUCGUGUCGUGAGAUGUUGGGUUAAGUCCCGCAACGAGCGCAACCCUCGUUCUAUGUUGCCAGCACGUAAUGGUGGGAACUCAUGGGAUACUGCCGGGGUCAACUCGGAGGAAGGUGGGGAUGACGUCAAAUCAUCAUGCCCCUUAUGUCUUGGGCUUCACGCAUGCUACAAUGGCCGGUACAAAGGGCUGCAAUACCGUGAGGUGGAGCGAAUCCCAAAAAGCCGGUCCCAGUUCGGAUUGAGGUCUGCAACUCGACCUCAUGAAGUCGGAGUCGCUAGUAAUCGCAGAUCAGCAACGCUGCGGUGAAUACGUUCCCGGGUCUUGUACACACCGCCCGUCAAGUCAUGAAAGUCGGUAACACCUGAAGC
rnacentral:rRNA from 1 species